rnacentral:rRNA from 1 species
UGUAAGCGUAUACCAAAGUUGUUGCAGUUAAAACGCUCGUAGUCGGAAUUUGGCAGUUCCGGAUGUGUGCACGUCGUGUGCGCACUUCGCGGGGAUUGCUUUUGUGGUCUUGCGUAGGAUGAGGCACUUUUAUUAGUGAACGUCCUCACGCAACCACUUUUUACGGUGAGAAAAUCAGAGUGCUCAAAGCAGGCAUUUGCCGUGAAUGUAUUAGCAUGGAAUAAUAGAAUAGGACUUGGUUCUAUUUUGUUGGUUUGUUGGGACUGAGUAAUGAUUAAGAGGGACAGUUGGGGGCAUUUGUAUUUCGGUGCUAGAGGUGAAAUUCUUAGAUUACCGAAAGACAAACUGCUGCGAAAGCGUCUGCCAAGGAUGUUUUCAUUGA